GACAGAGGCCCCGAGCGUUAGUCGGAAUUACUGGGCUUAAAGGGUGCGUAGGCGGGCGUGAAAGUGUUCUGUGAAAUCCCCGGGCUCAACCCGGGAACCGCAGGGCAUACUCCACGUCUCGAGGAAGCUAGAGGCCGGCGGAACGAUCGGUGGAGCGGUGGAAUGCGUAGAGAUCGAUCGGAACGCCAAGGGUGAAGACAGCCGGCUGGAGCUUUCCUGACGCUGAGGCACGAAAGCGCGGGGAUCAAACAGG
rnacentral:rRNA from 1 species